UACAGAGGUGGCAAGCGUUGUUCGGAAUUACUGGGCGUAAAGGGCGCGUAGGCGGCCUGGUCAGUCCCGUGUGAAAUCCCUCGGCUUAACCGGGGAACUGCGUCUGAUACUGGAUGGCUCGAGAUUGGGAGAGGGAUGCGGAAUUCCAGGUGUAGCGGUGAAAUGCGUAGAUAUCUGGAGGAACACCGGUGGCGAAGGCGGCAUCCUGGACCAGCACUGACGCUGAGGAGCGAAAGCCAGGGGAGCAAACGGG
rnacentral:rRNA from 1 species